rnacentral:rRNA from 1 species
UACGGAGGGGGCUAGCGUUGUUCGGAAUUACUGGGCGUAAAGCGCACGUAGGCGGCUUUGUAAGUCAGAGGUGAAAUCCCGGGGCUCAACCCCGGAACUGCCUUUGAGACUGCAUCGCUUGAAUCCAGGAGAGGUGAGUGGAAUUCCGAGUGUAGAGGUGAAAUUCGUAGAUAUUCGGAAGAACACCAGUGGCGAAGGCGGCUCACUGGACUGGUAUUGACGCUGAGGUGGCGAAAGCGUGGGAAGCAAACAGG